GAUGAACGCUGGCGGCGUGCCUAAUACAUGCAAGUCGAGCGAACGGACGAGAAGCUUGCUUCUCUGAUGUUAGCGGCGGACGGGUGAGUAACACGUGGAUAACCUACCUAUAAGACCGGGAUAACUUCGGGAAACCGGAGCUAAUACCGGAUGAUAUUUUGAACCGCAUGGUUCAAAAGUGAAAGACGGUCUUGCUGUCACUUAUAGAUGGAUCCGCGCUGCAUUAGCUAGUUGGUAAGGUAACGGCUUACCAAGGCAACGAUGCAUAGCCGACCUGAGAGGGUGAUCAGCCACACUGGAACUGAGACACGGUCCAGACUCCUACGGGAGGCACCAGUAGGGAAUCUUCCGCAAUGGGCGAAAGCCUGACGGAGCAACGCCGCGUGAGUGAUGAAGGUCUUCGGCUCGUAAAACUCUGUUAUUAGGGAAGAACAUAUGUGUAAGUAACUGUGCACAUCUUGACGGUACCUAAUCAGAAAGCCACGGCUAACUACGUG
rnacentral:rRNA from 1 species